CAGCAGUGCAAGUAGCACAACUUCAUCUGAGUUUUGUGAUGCAUGAGUAAUCCUGCCUCCAAGGCUGUCUGGGACUUGUGCACCACAUCCUUGCUCCAGCUAGUAACUCAGUACAGUAUUUUACAAUGUCUGGGAUAGAGAUCAUUUCUUCUGUGCAGUGUGCUGUGGUAUGUUCAUUGGGCAGAGUGCUGUCUAUGAGGAGGACUCAGUACGGUGGCACCUGUCCAUCUCGUGAUGCACAGAACUGUUUUCCAUGCUGCUGUGUGGGCUGGAAGCAGCUGAGGGCUAGGAUGCUCCCUGUGCACUCACACAGCUCCUGGCAUGGCACAGCUUCAGUUCUGGUAGCAGACAGGCCAUUGCUACAAUCUAAAUGCCUUUAAAAAAAAAGGUGGUCGUAGCAGGAAGAAGUGCUGGUUGGAAUCUCUGAGCUUCUAAUACAAUGUUGACUAAAAUGCAAUGCUGACUAAAAUCUCCUGCAUGUGAGUCUUGUCCCUUCCACCACAAAGGACUGGUCACAUUUUCCAUUCUUGGCUCCAUGUGGCUGCUCUGAACAUCCCAGGUUAUCUCUGCACCCACCAGCUGCCUUUCCUACUGCUUGGCUCUCCAGGCCUUCAUCUCUGCUCAGCGCCCAUGCCAGGGUCACUAAGGCAGUUAGCUGAGUUUUAAGAUACCUCUAUUUUUGGAGGACUUUUUAUUUGGGAGCCCAGGAAGUAAGAGUUCAGCUCUCUCUCCCUCAGCCAUGACUCUGGGGUAGGAUUUUCAGGGGUAGGAGCACUGCAGAAGUCUUGAGUAGCCUGGAACUCCCAGAUAGCACAGGAAAAACCUAUUAUGGGAAAGCUGCUAAUAGCAGAAGUAAGCUCUUAGCCACAUUUUCCACUGGUGUUACAGACUCUGGAGAACAGCUUGUUUCGACCAGGUUUCCAAACUGCUUUUUGGUGUUCAUCCAAAGACUUGGGGCCACACAUUCUCUUAUGGGGGCUUUUCACAGCUGCCUCUCCUUGGAAUGAUUGCAAGGGGUGCUGAGUUGGGUAGUUGGGUGGGAUGACCUGUUGCUCUCAUGUUUAUUUCUUUGGAGUGUCUCUGUCAAGAAAGACUGUAAGACAUAAUAAUUAAAAUACUUUUAGAUCACCAUAAUCUUGUCAAACUUCUUAUUGUGAUCCCUGUGAAUGUGACAUUUGUGAGCUCAUU
rnacentral:lncRNA from 1 species